rnacentral:rRNA from 1 species
GGUUAAGCGACUAAGCGUACACGGUGGAUGCCCUGGCAGUCAGAGGCGAUGAAGGACGUGCUAAUCUGCGAAAAGCGCCGGCGAGGUGAUAUGAACCCUUGACCCGGCGAUGUCCGAAUGGGGAAACCCAGUGCAAUCCGUUGCACUAUCGUUAACUGAAUACAUAGGUUAACGAGGCGAACCGGGGGAACUGAAACAUCUAAGUACCCCGAGGAAAAGAAAUCAACCGAGAUUCCCCCAGUAGCGGCGAGCGAACGGGGAGCAGCCCGGAGUCUGAAUCAGCUUGUGUGUUAGUGGAACGGUCUGGAAAGUCCGACGGUACAGGGUGAUAGUCCCGUACACGAAAGCACACUUGCUGUGAACUCGAAGAGUAGGGCGGGACACGUGGUAUCCUGUCUGAAUAUGGGGGGACCAUCCUCCAAGGCUAAAUACUCCUGACUGACCGAUAGUGAACCAGUACCGUGAGGGAAAGGCGAAAAGAACCCCGGCGAGGGGAGUGAAAAAGAACCUGAAACCGUGUACGUACAAGCAGUGGGAGCCUCUUUAUGGGGUGACUGCGUACCUUUUGUAUAAUGGGUCAGCGACUUAUAUUCUGUAGCAAGGUUAACCGUAUAGGGGAGCCGAAGGGAAACCGAGUCUUAACUGGGCGUUAAGUUGCAGGGUAUAGACCCGAAACCCGGUGAUCUAGCCAUGGGCAGGUUGAAGGUUGGGUAACACUAACUGGAGGACCGAACCGACUAAUGUUGAAAAAUUAGCGGAUGACCUGUGGCUGGGGGUGAAAGGCCAAUCAAACCGGGAGAUAGCUGGUUCUCCCCGAAAGCUAUUUAGGUAGCGCCUCGUGAACUCAUCUUCGGGGGUAGAGCACUGUUUCGGCUAGGGGGCCAUCCCGGCUUACCAACCCGAUGCAAACUACGAAUACCGAAGAAUGUUAUCACGGGAGACACACGGCGGGUGCUAACGUCCGUCGUGAAGAGGGAAACAACCCAGACCGCCAGCUAAGGUCCCAAAGUCAUGGUUAAGUGGGAAACGAUGUGGGAAGGCACAGACAGCCAGGAUGUUGGCUUAGAAGCAGCCAUCAUUUAAAGAAAGCGUAAUAGCUCACUGGUCGAGUCGGCCUGCGCGGAAGAUGUAACGGGGCUAAACCAUGCACCGAAGCUGCGGCAGCGACACUAUGUGUUGUUGGGUAGGGGAGCGUUCUGUAAGCCGUUGAAGGUGUGCUGUGAGGCAUGCUGGAGGUAUCAGAAGUGCGAAUGCUGACAUAAGUAACGAUAAAGCGGGUGAAAAGCCCGCUCGCCGGAAGACCAAGGGUUCCUGUCCAACGUUAAUCGGGGCAGGGUGAGUCGACCCCUAAGGCGAGGCCGAAAGGCGUAGUCGAUGGGAAACAGGUUAAUAUUCCUGUACUUGGUGUUACUGCGAAGGGGGGACGGAGAAGGCUAUGUCAGCCGGGCGACGGUUGUCCCGGUUUAAGCAUGUAGGCGGAGGUUCCAGGUAAAUCCGGUACCUUUUAACGCUGAGGUGUGAUGACGAGGCACUACGGUGCUGAAGUGAUAAAUGCCCUGCUUCCAGGAAAAGCCUCUAAGCAUCAGGUAACACGAAAUCGUACCCCAAACCGACACAGGUGGUCAGGUAGAGAAUACCAAGGCGCUUGAGAGAACUCGGGUGAAGGAACUAGGCAAAAUGGUGCCGUAACUUCGGGAGAAGGCACGCUGAUGUGUAGGUGAAGCCCCUGCGGGCGGAGCUGAAAUCAGUCGAAGAUACCAGCUGGCUGCAACUGUUUAUUAAAAACACAGCACUGUGCAAACACGAAAGUGGACGUAUACGGUGUGACGCCUGCCCGGUGCCGGAAGGUUAAUUGAUGGGGUUAGCUGUAAGGCGAAGCUCUUGAUCGAAGCCCCGGUAAACGGCGGCCGUAACUAUAACGGUCCUAAGGUAGCGAAAUUCCUUGUCGGGUAAGUUCCGACCUGCACGAAUGGCGUAAUGAUGGCCAGGCUGUCUCCACCCGAGACUCAGUGAAAUUGAACUCGCUGUGAAGAUGCAGUGUACCCGCGGCAAGACGGAAAGACCCCGUGAACCUUUACUAUAGCUUGACACUGAACACUGGUCCUUGAUGUGUAGGAUAGGUGGGAGGCUUUGAAGCGUGGACGCCAGUCUGCGUGGAGCCAACCUUGAAAUACCACCCUUUAAUGGCUGGUGUUCUAACGUAGACCCGUAAUCCGGGUUGCGGACAGUGUCUGGUGGGUAGUUUGACUGGGGCGGUCUCCUCCCAAAGAGUAACGGAGGAGCACGAAGGUUGGCUAAUCCUGGUCGGACAUCAGGAGGUUAGUGCAAUGGCAUAAGCCAGCUUGACUGCGAGCGUGACGGCGCGAGCAGGUGCGAAAGCAGGUCAUAGUGAUCCGGUGGUUCUGAAUGGAAGGGCCAUCGCUCAACGGAUAAAAGGUACUCCGGGGAUAACAGGCUGAUACCGCCCAAGAGUUCAUAUCGACGGCGGUGUUUGGCACCUCGAUGUCGGCUCAUCACAUCCUGGGGCUGAAGUAGGUCCCAAGGGUAUGGCUGUUCGCCAUUUAAAGUGGUACGCGAGCUGGGUUUAGAACGUCGUGAGACAGUUCGGUCCCUAUCUGCCGUGGGCGCUGGAGAAUUGAGGGGGGCUGCUCCUAGUACGAGAGGACCGGAGUGGACGCAUCACUGGUGUUCGGGUUGUCAUGCCAAUGGCACUGCCCGGUAGCUAAAUGCGGAAGAGAUAAGUGCUGAAAGCAUCUAAGCACGAAACUUGCCCCGAGAUGAGUUCUCCCUGAGACUUUAAGUCUCCUGAAGGAACGUUGAAGACGACGACGUUGAUAGGUCGGGUGUGUAAGCGCAGCGAUGCGUUGAGCUAACCGAUACUAAUGAACCGUGAGGCUUAACCUU